GAUGAACGCUGGCGGCGUGCUUAACACAUGCAAGUCGAACGGAAAGGCCCAAGCUUGCUUGGGUACUCGAGUGGCGAACGGGUGAGUAACACGUGGGUGAUCUGCCCUGCACUUCGGGAUAAGCCUGGGAAACUGGGUCUAAUACCGGAUAGGACCACUUCUUGGAUGUUGUGGUGGAAAGUUUUUUCGGUGUGGGAUGAGCUCGCGGCCUAUCAGCUUGUUGGUGGGGUAAUGGCCUACCAAGGCGUCGACGGGUAGCCGGCCUGAGAGGGUGUACGGCCGCAUUGGGACUGAGAUACGGCCGAGACUCCUACGGGAGGCAGCAGUGGGGAAUAUUGCACAAGGGGCGCAAGCCUGAUGCAGCGACGCCGCGUGGGGGAUGACGGCCUUCGGGUUGUAAACUCCUUUCGCUAGGGACGAAGCGUUUUGUGACGGUACCUGGAGAAGAAGCACCGGCUAACUACGUG
rnacentral:rRNA from 1 species